rnacentral:tRNA from 1 species
CAGUGGCCUAGUGGUUACGACACCGGCCUGGUAGCCUGGGGUCAUAGGUUCAAGCCC